AGAGUUUGAUCCUGGCUCAGGAUGAACGCUGGCGGCGUGCCUAACACAUGCAAGUCGAGCGAUUUACUUCGGUAAAGAGCGGCGGACGGGUGAGUAACGCGUGGGUAACCUGCCCUGUACACACGGAUAACAUACCGAAAGGUAUGCUAAUACGAGAUAAUAUGCUUUUAUCGCAUGGUAGAAGUAUCAAAGCUUUUGCGGUACAGGAUGGACCCGCGUCUGAUUAGCUAGUUGGUAAGGUAACGGCUUACCAAGGCGACGAUCAGUAGCCGACCUGAGAGGGCGAUCGGCCACAUUGGAACUGAGACACGGUCCAAACUCCUACGGGAGGCAGCAGUGGGGAAUAUUGCACAAUGGGCGAAAGCCUGAUGCAGCAACGCCGCGUGAGCGAUGAAGGCCUUCGGGUCGUAAAACUCUGUCCUCAAGGAAAAUAAUGACGGUACUUGAGGAGGAAGCCCCGG
rnacentral:rRNA from 1 species